CCUACGGGUGUCUGCAGUGGGGAAUAUUGGACAAUGGGCGAAAGCCUGAUCCAGCCAUGCCGCGUGUGUGAAGAAGGCCUUCGGGUUGUAAAGCACUUUCAGUGGGGAAGAAAGCCUUGGGGCUAAUACCCUCGAGGAAGGACAUCACCCACAGAAGAAGCACCGGCUAACUCCGUGCCAGCAGCCGCGGUAAUACGGAGGGUGCGAGCGUUAAUCGGAAUUACUGGGCGUAAAGCGCGCGUAGGCGGUCUGAUAAGCCGGUUGUGAAAGCCCCGGGCUCAACCUGGGAACGGCAUCCGGAACUGUCAGGCUAGAGUGCAGGAGAGGAAGGUAGAAUUCCCGGUGUAGCGGUGAAAUGCGUAGAGAUAGGGAGGAAUACCAGUGGCGAAGGCGGCCUUCUGGACUGACACUGACGCUGAGGUGCGAAAGCGUGGGUAGCAAACAGGAUUAGAUACCCCGGUAGUC
rnacentral:rRNA from 1 species